rnacentral:rRNA from 1 species
GUCGAGGGGCAGCACAGGUAGCAAUACUGGGUGGCGACCGGCGGAUGGGUGCGUAACGCGUAUGCAACCUACCAUUGAUUGGGGCAUAGCCCGAAGAAAUUCGGAUUAAUACUCCAUAAUAUUCAUCAAAGGCAUCUUUUAUGAAUUAAAGCUUUUGCGAUCAAUGAUGGGCAUGCGUGACAUUAGUUAGUUGGUGAGGUAACGGCUCACCAAAACGAUGAUGUCUAGGGGUUCUGAGAGGAUUAUCCCCCACACUGGUACUGAGACACGGACCAGACUCCUACGGGAGGCAGCAGUGAGGAAUAUUGGUCAAUGGACGCAAGUCUGAACCAGCCAUGCCGCGUGCAGGAUGACGGCCCUAUGGGUUGUAAACUGCUUUUCCACGGGAAGAACCCUCCGACGUGUCGGAGACUGACGGUACCGUGGGAAUAAGCAUCGGCUAACUCCGUGCCAGCAGCCGCGGUAAUACGGAGGAUGCAAGCGUUAUCCGGAUUUAUUGGGUUUAAAGGGUGCGUAGGUGGGCUUAUAAGUCAGCGGUGAAAUCCCCCGGCUCAACCAGGGAAUUGCCGUUGAUACUGUUAGCCUUGAGUACAGUUGAAGUGGGCGGAAUGUAGCAUGUAGCGGUGAAAUGCAUAGAUAUGCUACAGAACACCAAUAGCGAA